rnacentral:rRNA from 1 species
AUUGAACGCUGGCGGCAGGCCUAACACAUGCAAGUCGAACGGAGUGGCGAACGGGUGAGUAAUGUAUCGGAACGUGCACAGUCGCGGGGGAUAACUACGCGAAAGCGUAGCUAAUACUGAAUACUAUUGGCGCGGCCGAUACCGGAUUAGCUAGGUGGUGGGGGAACGGCUCACCAGGGCGACGAUCCGUAGCUGGUUUGAGAGGAUGACCAGCAAAACUGGGACUAGGACACGGUCCAUACGCCUACGGGAGGCAGCAGUGGGGAAGUUUGGACAAUGGGGGAAACCCUGAUCCAGCCAUGCCGCGUGUGCGAUGAAGGCCUUCGGGUUGUAAAGCACUUUUAGCAGGAAAGCGGUACCUGCAGAAUAAGCACCGGCUAACUACGUGCCAGCAGCCGCGGUAAUAC